rnacentral:rRNA from 1 species
AUUGAACGCUGGCGGCAUGCUUUACACAUGCAAGUCGAACGGUAACAGGCCUUCGGGUGCUGACGAGUGGCGAACGGGUGAGUAAUGCAUCGGAACGUGCUCAAUCGUGGGGGAUAACGUAGCGAAAGUUACGCUAAUACCGCAUAAGCCCUGAGGGGGAAAGCAGGGGAUCGCAAGACCUUGCGCGAAUGGAGCGGCCGAUGUCAGAUUAGCUAGUUGGUGGGGUAAAGGCCUACCAAGGCGACGAUCUGUAGCGGGUCUGAGAGGAUGAUCCGCCACACUGGGACUGAGACACGGCCCAGACUCCUACGGGAGGCAGCAGUGGGGAAUUUUGGACAAUGGGCGCAAGCCUGAUCCAGCCAUGCCGCGUGCGGGACGAAGGCC